CGCACACUUGCUCGUGCUCUCGUCCGUGUGUACUUUGCCGCGUAAAUCGAGGUGGGAGGCCAUCUUGCGAAUGUUCGUGGUUGUGUCAACGAGGGACGAAGCAUCAUUUCGAGCUGUCGACGAUAUCGCGUUAUCCUGGCGAUGGUACGAAUCCUCCACUGCAAUUUCCCGAUUGUAUGGCCGAUAAAGGUCAAGGCUUCUUACCGAGUCCAACUGCACACUCCAAAAGCAAUCUUUCGACUUGGGUAUUUUACCGCCGCGAGCGAGAGGGAUGGUCCAAUUUGCGGAGCAUAAAUAGAAAUAGGAAACCCGGAAUAGCUUUACGAUCGGUCUCCUGCUUCACGAAUCGCUUCUUCACGCCCCACGUGGAAGGCUUACGUCGCGAUUGGGAGCAGGAGUUACAAGCAGCUAUACCCUGGAUCGUAGAAUGCGACAGGACGAGAGGAGCACCAUCCUGGUUUCCGAGGUCCGCUGGUGUAAAUCUGGCGCCAGGCAGUCAAGGUUACGUCGACAGGGGAGAGGAAAGGGUUCGGGCACUUUGCUUACCACCGUUGGAGGAUAUCCGGGGCCGAUGGAUCUGGACGUGUCCUGGGAUUUGCGGAUUAACUCGACCACCGACGAAGGAAAGACGUUGUGUCUGCGUCUGGCUUAACCGUUGAUGGAUAACGGGGACGAAGGAUGUACGGAGCCAGUUAGUUAUGCUCGCAUUUCGUAUCGUCUCCUGCUCUGCAUCCCUUCGCACGCUCCUGGAUAUCGAGAUGAGGAACUUCGGUAGGGGACCAAGUAUCGGCGUUCCGGAGAAUGACGAGGAGCACAAGCGGGAAAAUCUCCAGGCAGGAUUCCCUCUCGAUUUAUCAGCAAAUAUUUAACGAGACCGGGCGUCCUCGAGCUUACUCGGCACCGGCAUCAAAGCCGCGAAGAAACUCCUCGGGGUCGAGAAGUACCACCUCUGGAAUCAACGCCAGGUCACUGAACCUAAAGAAACCCUAUCGAGUCCCUGGAGUAGAGGAGUAUUCGAACGAGCGGAUCAAAAGAGCAGUCCAGGAGCGUUAAAAGCAGGAACACAACGGGUGUCAAAAAUCGUACAAGUCUUGAAAAUACAACGAACGGCUGCCGCAAGGACAUAUCUCUCGCUCCCAAAUCUCCCAGACGGUCCCAGAGAUCCUAAAGCUGGACGUCGAGAUUUCCAUAUCCCCCACGGAAGGUCGUCUCUUGGUGGAAGCCCCAAGUGUCCCGUCAGCGUUCGCCACGGUGAGACGCAUUAGUUUCGAGGACGUCGACUCGAGCUGUUCCCACGUAGGCCAGAGGAGUCCCUCGAAGAUGUGAACCAUCGAGGGACAAGGAACGUCAAGACCGUCGGGUUCGUUUGGGGCGCAGGAUAAAAUUAGGGCCGACAGAAAGUUGAGAAAUGAAAAUCUCGAUCGCAGAAAGUACUGCCGAAGGGCGACGGCACGAGCAAAUGGGAAAACGUAGUAGAAUAUUACGAAAGUUUCCUUUCGCGUACAAAGUCGAGUCUCUUCGGCCCCGCCCGAUCCAGAUUAAGGGGUGCCCGCUGAAAGAACGGCGAUCGUGCUUCAGGAUUUUUCGCACUUCUAAAGACCGUUCGCUACCCCCUUCGUCGUUCAUUUUUCUCUCUCUGUCCGUCCUCCAAUGGUUUCUCCCUUACGGCUGAAAAGUUUCCCGCGGCCACGAUGGUUUUCCUAUUUGCCGCGGGGACGACGGAUCGCCAGUCGGGGAGUGGGUCGCAGUUUUUGUAUCGGUGGCCUCCUCGCAACCCACACAUUUGAUUGUGCCGCGACGUGACUGAAAUAAACCUGCUGGACUACCGUUUCGUGUCUUGAGAAUCGCCACUGUACUCGGUGAACAAUAUUUACAGAAGAACACUAAUUUUGAAAAAUAAGUCGAGGUAGAAAGCGAUACCUUAGAGCAAAAAUCGUAAUCGUCACGUUGCUCCCACUGAAUACAUUUUAAGUUGCUAUAUGAAACAUCUACUUUGACGACUGUAGCAUUUUAUUUCCAUACUUACACCCACGCGCAUACACCCAAAAAUAAAUUAACCUAUUUCACAGAUGGUUAGCCAAGUAGGUUCGUUCAUACACCAGUAUUAAUAUUCACGAGGUCCAUGUCUAUUCACGUGGCAUGCCAUCUGCGCAAAGUUUUCACCCGAACAUCCCCAACUCGGAACAUUUAUAAAGUUGCCUCGUAAAUCGCGCCACCUUUGCGCGAGACCGAGCAAAGCGGAAGCACGAGUCGUCGGGCUCCGGUGCAUUAAUUAGUCACGAAUCAAUCGGUUUGUUAAAUCGAUGUAACCCAUGUUUGGCGAAUCAAUUUUAGCGUGCUCGACCGUCUGCCCCUUUCAUGUUCUAGAUCAAUGAAACGGCGAUAAAACGCGGCUCCUCGGUAAAAUCGAGUCACCUUUGAAAUUAUCGCGGAUCACGAAAGGACGCGGAAUUUUUAUCAGUAGAGAUGAAUCGGUUCGACGUCGAUUUUCCAAACGUUCCUUAGAUACUCCUGGCAUAUUUCAUUAUUCUUUCUCCGAAUUCGAACAACGUUCGAGCGAAAUUUAAUGACCGUGUUACUUUGCCGUCGAACUCUGGACGUAAAGCGCGGCGAUCGUUUUUAUCUCAAUUGCAAGACGCUUUGACGAGUCGUAAGUACCGUUAGUCCUGCCGCAAAAAGGAACGAUGAGAUGGGGUAGUGGAGGGUAGGUUCGACAAAGUGUCCCUUGUCCCGUGACACGAGGGACCAUCGAAUGGUUCGACGGAAAGACUGGUCGAAUUCGAAGCGUAAUUAACGGAACGUCAUUGCACGAUGGCCAAUAAAGUUCAAAGGAUUUAAUCCGCCCGAGCGAUUCCCCUGAUUCGAAGGGGUUGGGGUAAAUGAGAUUGACGAUGGGAGCAACCAGGGUGGAGACAGAGGUCCGUGGGUGGAAGCAACGUUAAGUUUGUUUUCUUUUGGCCGAGGAACGUCGAUCCUCGAGCCCGACGUUGAGCCGGACAAUCGUGGGGGUAGUUUUUGCGGGAGAAUUCGCCCAUUAAGAGCCGUUUACCCCCACGAGGAGUAACGUACGAUCGCCACUAUGUUUUCCCAGCACCCCGGAUCGCGUUUCACCCUGGAACCAUCGCAACUGCUGCAUCCCGAUCUCCUCGAACAAAUCUUUUUCACCCCCUCGUCGAGGCAAACGAAUGAAAAGUUCCUGGCCGAGAAGACCUCGAGAAGGGGCGGGUUCGAACGAAAUUCUACGGCCGCUCGUUACUCGCGUCGCGAUUUUUCAACGUGACUAACGCCGACGAGGAAAGUAAUAAGGGAAGUAAAGUUUAGCGUCCCUCGCGUCUUGAUGCUUUCUUUCGUUCGACUGUGUCAGCUAAUUAUUUCCGAUAAAUACGUCCUAGGAUCGCUUUCGGUUUUAAUACCGGAGACUCGAAAUUCAAAAUUGUCGAAGUUGUAACCACCGCUAUCCUAGACUGUAUCGUUAGUUUGAUUAACCACGGAACUUCAGGUCCCAGUGAUUCGUCGCGAUUCGUUCGGCUCGCGUCCCAAAGGACGAGAAAAAUGGCGGGAAUCAGUCAAGCAUGCGCCACCCCCGCGAUUACGGAUAAAUACGCACUUAAUAUGUAGAGAGCCGCGCAUAAAAAACUGAUGGUCUGCGAUCAGGAGCGGGUGUCGCGUCGUAUCGAAAGAUCUACGACUGGUCGUUGAAAAGGGCUCGGGUCUUUUUUUUUUUUUUUUAAAGCGAAGGGUGCUCGUGCUCGCGUCUUCGAUAUUUCGAGUAUGGAAAAUUGCGAGCCACUUGUUCUCGCCGCUCCAUCCGCUGCUGCGUCAUAUUUUUUCAACGGGGAGGGUAGUAAUAUUCGAAAUUAAAUUUUCCAGGCUGUUCCAGCCUGGACGCUCGGGGGAAAAGACGCGUUGACGGGAAAUUCAGUAUUCGCGGGGACAAAGGAACUCCGCGGGAAUCUCGUCCAUUGUUUUCUGGGACGGAUCUUUCGCUCCUCUUUCACUUGGGUCUCUUCUUUCUCGUCCACUUUCCUGUUGAUUAUUUUUAACGGCGGGGAGGCGAGCCCUGGUACGGAAACCUGUAAUCUGGUUAUUUAUUUAUUUGCUCGGGAUCGCACCGAUUGCCCGCGAAAGCGAUGCAGUGGUAAUAAUAGGAGGAGCGCGAACGCCCAGCGACGCAAUCACGAGAAUCGUUACGCGAGGGAACGAAAAAUAAAAAUAAACGGCACUUAAAGAGUGUCGAGAUCGGUUUAUAAAUUAAAAAUUAUAACAGAGGAUCAGCUUUAUUAUUAUUACUUUAUUUGGGAGAGCAGACAAAUGCAGUACAAAUAAAAAUACAAUUCCAAAUUCGUUAAUUGAAUUUCGCGAAAUAAGUAACGUCGCAUCGACGACCGAUCUAAACGAUGCUCAUUGUAAACGACUCCUUCGUUUACAACGGAAUAGGAAAGUCGAAACGGAAGUCAAUCAGCCAGGUAUUCCAGUAGUGUUCGCCGUUCAUCGAACGGCAUCGCAACAAUUUCAUGGGCGGGGGCGGCGCGUUCGAUUCGAGGUUUUCCGGCUAAAAGCUCGGGGUCUAGUGCACGGUGAAUUAUUUCGAUCGCUCGACGGAACGGUUAGAAUAUUUGGCCGUUUCGAGGAAGUCCGCAAUAUUCGAACGGAUUUUCCCUCGACGAGUCGCGUCGGAAUUACAUAAAUACACAAGGUGGUGAUCGGAAAAAAUUUGUUCAACACGUUCGAACUCUACUACAAGCACCCUAAAUAUUAGAAAAUCUCACAUCCGAUAGUUUCCUCAAAAUAAAAUCGUAGACGCGAGUUAAUCGGGCCGUUCGUUGCACAAAUCGAUUACAUGAACAUAAGUUGACAUAAAACAAAAAGUUGAGAGAUGCGAUGAAAUAAUGUACAAUUUUUAUGUGAACCGUGAAGUUAAUUGAUUUGUUCAGCGAACGGCUCAAUCGUAUCUCCUCGAAAAAUGUAAUUUGGUCUCUCAACGCAUCCACGAUUAAUAGACUCGAAACGUGUUGUUGUAGAGCGAAACUCGGCGAUUAGCCAGCGCCAAAUUCUCGCUGAAUUUCCACGGAAAACGUCGUGGGGCGGAUAAUUUGUUGGUAUUCCACGAGGAUGAAGCUCGUUUAGAGGGUUUCAGUGUGCGUACGCCGCUUAGGCCUACGGGAUGCCGGACAUAUUCGAAUUCGAUCUGGCCCGAUGCGUUUAUAAUUGCAGCCGAACGUUCUCUCCAGACACGAAUUACCGCUGGAAGCACUCCCGAAUAAUGGAGAACCGGCAGAAACGGCGGUAAGCACUCGGUGUGUGCGUACAGGCACGCUUAAUACGCCCGCCGAAUUUGCUCGAGUUAAUGAAACCUCAAAUCGGUUGCGCAGUUAGCGUGCAUAGUAAUUGAUCGCGAUCGCUUACUUCUAUCUGUGGAGAAUCGAUCGGGCAGGGGAAGGGGGGUUGCACUCGCGUUAAUUACCGAUGGAAAAAUUCUUCGAGGCGUCGGAGAAGUCGCGAAACCCCUCGGAAAAGUGUUUAGGUGAGGUGUUUAAUAUCGUGUAAAGAUGUCGUGAACCUUAAAAUAAAAUUGUCUGGUGUUUCUCGGAUAUGUACGAAAACGUUCUCUGGCACUAGAAGGGUUAAUUUGCAAAGUAUUACUUUGGAAUGAGAAUCGACAGUAAACCAGGGGACUUGUACCCGAAUUUAGACGAGGAAAUUCCGCUUGGAUGUCUUUGUUCGUUCUCCCAAUGGUCGUCCAUGCAAAGUCCACCGUCGUUGUGUCGCGUAUCUCCGGCCGCGCGCAUAGAACGUAUCGCUUCCGAGUAAUCGAACGCGAAAUCCUCGCGAGUCCUCCUGGCUCGGAUUUGGCGUGGCCGAGCGAUGGCGCGCUAGUUAAACCCGAUAGCGGGAACGAAAGCUUUGAAACGAGAGAUUUUCUACGUUUAUUUGUCAUAUCGAUAUCCUCGACGGGCCGUAAUGCACGAGCACAGGAACCCCGUGGAUUCGCACUCGAUUCCCUCCCUUCUGUCUCGCUCCGUGCCCCUCUUCAUCUCCGUUCAUCUCGCUCGCUCGCGGUCCUCUAUAAAUCUCGCGACGCAAUAUUGCGGGAGCGACGCGAGCAACAAAAAAAAAAAAAGAGAGAAAGAAAAAAUGGGGUGGGUGGAAGAAAACAAAAACGGGACAACAAGGAACGUGGAAAAAAAAGAACGCGUUAUAUAUAGCCGCGGUAACGACCAUCGGUAGCUGCAAUUUACAUCAUACGACUGGCGAUCGCCUCUCCGUGAGCAACGUUGGCCUAAAUUUUUGAUUGCUCGCCGAGGAUAACGAACGACGACCACACGCGCAAGCGAGCCAACCCAGGCUUCCGAGGCUCGCGUUAAUUAGCCAGCGAUAAUUAGCUUCGAACAUAUCGCCGUUUCGAGACCGCCUCUCGGCCGACAAAGCUCCCGAGCGUCUGGCUUCGUUUUUCGUCGGCCAGACCCCCUCGACGAGCGACACAGCGCCCGGGGAAAUUAAUAACAAUGUUUUUUUUUUUUUAAUUAGCUAUUUCUGCCCGCGUCAACCAGUCGAAUCGGGUUAUUAACGGCCUGAUUAAGAAUACCUCGGCACGGUUUUCGGUGAAUAUUAAUUUGCUUGCACGGGUUUCGACGCUGCGAGACUUUGGUUGGAGAGUUGCCUUUGUUGAAUCUUCUAGUUUAUAUUUUCCUUAGAUCGUAAUACUUUUCGAGAAACUCUUAAAGAUUUUCAUUUAUACAACUACGAAGUACAGGAUGUGUGAGGAACUGGGAGCCGAGAUUAGGAUGUUUGGUUGAGAACGAGUCUAUGGUCUUUGUCAUGUUUGUGAUUAGCUGCGUGUGUCAUCCAAUAUUUCUCCCUCGCUCACCUACAUCUCUCAUACGCAUAUUUGGCCUCAUCUCAACCCUCUAUGAAGGAUCUUUGAUCUCCCUACCAAGAUUUCCCUGCCCACUACUCGGAUGCUGCGGUCCUGGAAGAUAGGAGGAGUCGGAGAACCAGCGAUAAUUCCUCAGAGGAAUAUUUUCCAGGGGGAGCCAGAGAGCCGUGGCCGCGUCGGAGGGUGCCACUCGCGCGUUCACCCCCUCCGAGCACGAUCUCUCUUACAUUUUCCAUCGUGUCCCGCAAGAUUUCGCAUCCUCGGCCCGUGGUUGGUCCCGGCGUGCGUGUAAAGUGGCGGCUUUCGUCGCGACAACGUCGACGCGUCGGGGGGUGGCGACCCCCACCCCCGUCGAGUGUCUGGUUUAAUGGCGCGCCUACGAGAAGGGCGUUCAAUUUUGUCAGCCGGCACAAAGAACCAAAGGGUGACGAGAACGUGUAUCGCUUAACGCCCCGACUCUCAACCCCACUCCCGUUCGCCUCUCUUUUCGCCGCCUUGUCUACGCACCCUUUCCGAAAGUCGCCCAUUUUCGACGAGGCGCCCUUUGCCGAACAAGGUUAAUAAUAAUUACGAACUUAAGUAGGAGUUUAUGAAAUUUGCCAAGCUUCAAACGGAACGUCGGGCGCGUAGGUCUUGUCGCGCUGCAUCAGAGGUCCACCCUGUUGGAUUCGAAAUUAGGGACGCGGGGGGGUGUGAGGCAGGCGAAGGUCUGUUUGAACUAGAUGAGACGAAUUUUACAUUUUACGUUUAAUUUGUUUCGUUGUAGCUUGCUUGGGAGUUCGAAUAUUCGUCCCUGACGAAUGCAAGUAGUAAUAGCUUGCAUUGGUCAGACGCGGCGAGUUCCCGCUACUUGCUACUUUCCCCGUGAAC